GUGAACGCCCUCACGGGCUUAUACUAUUCCAAACCUCUGUGAACCGUGCCCUUCGGGGCUAUGUUACAAACAUGGUGUAAUGAACGUCAUAUAUCAUAACAAACA
rnacentral:misc_RNA from 1 species